UACGUAGGGGGCAAGCGUUGUCCGGAAUUACUGGGCGUAAAGCGCGCGUAGGCGGAUUAUUAAGUCAGAUGUGAAAACUCUGGGCUCAACCCGGAGAUUGCAUCUGAAACUGGUAGUCUUGAGUGUAGAAGAGGAGAGUGGAAUUCCUAGUGUAGCGGUGAAAUGCGUAGAUAUUAGGAGGAACACCAGUGGCGAAGGCGGCCUUCUGGACAGUAACUGACACUGAGGUACGAAAGCGUGGGUAGCAAACAGGAUUAGAUACCCGGGUAGUCCCU
rnacentral:rRNA from 1 species